rnacentral:rRNA from 1 species
AAUUGACGGGACCCGCACAAGCGGUGGAUGAUGUGGAUUAAUUCGAUGCAACGCGAAGAACCUUACCUACCCUUGACAUGUCCGGAACUUGCCAGAGAUGGCUUGGUGCCCGAAAGGGAAUCGGAACACAGGUGCUGCAUGGCUGUCGUCAGCUCGUGUCGUGAGAUGUUGGGUUAAGUCCCGCAACGAGCGCAACCCUUAUCAUUAGUUGCUACGCAAGGGCACUCUAAUGAGACUGCCGGUGACAAACCGGAGGAAGGUGGGGAUGACGUCAAGUCCUCAUGGCCCUUAUGGGUAGGGCUUCACACGUCAUACAAUGGUUGGUACAACGAGUUGCGAGUCGGUGACGGCGAGCUAAUCUCUUAAAGCCAAUCUCAGUUCGGAUUGUAGGCUGCAACUCGCCUACAUGAAGUCGGAAUCGCUAGUAAUCGCGGAUCAGCACGCCGCGGUGAAUACGUUCCCGGGCCUU